CAAGAGUAGAUGAAUUAGAUUUAGUAAUUCACGUUUGUUUUAUUAGUUUAAUUGCACUCGGCUCAAUCUUUUUUUUACUAAAAAAGAUUGAGCCGAGGUU
rnacentral:misc_RNA from 1 species